rnacentral:rRNA from 1 species
CACUAUGCCUAGCCCUAAACAUUGACAGUUAAUUACACCCACUGUCCGCCUGGGAACUACGAGCACCAGCUUAAAACCCAAAGGACUUGGCGGUGCUUUAGACCCACCUAGAGGAGCCUGUUCUAGAACCGAUAAUCCCCGUUAAACCUCACCCUUCCUUGUCAUUUCCGCCUAUAUACCACCGUCGCCAGCUUACCCUGUGAAGGCCCAAUAGUAAGCACAAUCGGCAAUGCCCAAAACGUCAGGUCGAGGUGUAGCGUAUGGAAGGGGAAGAAAUGGGCUACAUUUACUAACACAGUAAAUACGGAUGAUUACCCUGCAACGAGUAUCUGAAGGAGGAUUUAGCAGUAAGCAAAAAGCAGAGUGUUUUGCUGAAAUUGGCCCUGAAGCGUGCACACACCGCCCGUCACUCUCUCCGAACUAAAACUUUAAACAUAACUAAUAUGCUAUAACUGUAAAGGGGAGGCAAGUCGUAA